rnacentral:rRNA from 1 species
UAUUGCACAAUGGAGGAAACUCUGAUGCAGCGACGCCGCGUGAGUGAUGAAGGCCUUCGGGUCGUAAAGCUCUGUCGUAUGGGACUAACAAAAUGAAGGUACCAUGCAAGAAAGCACCGGCUAACUACGUGCCAGCAGCCGCGGUAAUACGUAGGGUGCGAGCGUUAAUCGGAAUUACUGGGCGUAAAGCGUGCGCAGGCGGUUUCGUAAGCUGGAGGUGAAAUCCCCGGGCUUAACCUGGGAAUGGCCUUCAGGACUGCGAGGCUAGAGUGCGGCAGAGGGAGGUGGAAUUCCACGUGUAGCAGUGAAAUGCGUAGAUAUGUGGAGGAACACCGAUGGCGAAGGCAGCCUCCUGGGCUAGCACUGACGCUCAUGCACGAAA